rnacentral:rRNA from 1 species
GAUGAACGCUGGCGGCGUGCCUAAUACAUGCAAGUCGAGCGAACAGACAAGGAGCUUGCUCCUCUGAUGUUAGCGGCGGACGGGUGAGUAACACGUGGAUAACCUACCUAUAAUACUGGGAUAACUUCGGGAAACCGGAGCUAAUACCGGAUAACAUGUUGAACCGCAUGGUUCAACAGUGAAAGACGGUCUUGCUGUCACUUAUAGAUGGAUCCGCGCCGCAUUAGCUAGUUGGUAAGGUAACGGCUUACCAAGGCAACGAUGCGUAGCCGACCUGAGAGGGUGAUCGGCCACACUGGAACUGAGACACGGUCCAGACUCCUACGGGAGGCGGCAGUAGGGAAUCUUCCGCAAUGGGCGAAAGCCUGACGGAGCAACGCCGCGUGAGUGAAGAAGGUCUUCGGAUCGUAAAACUCUGUUAUUAGGGAAGAACAAAUGUGUAAGUAACUAUGCACGUCUUGACGGUACCUAAUCAGAAAGCCACGGCUAACUACGUG